rnacentral:tRNA from 1 species
GGUGGGUAUAGCUCAGUGGUAGAGUGUGUGCUUAGCAUGCACAAGGUCCUGGGUUCAAUCCCCAGUGCCUCCA